rnacentral:rRNA from 2 species
CUAAUACAUGCAAGUCGAACGCACUGACGUCGACCGAAGCUGCUUGCAGUGGACGUUGAUUGACGUGAGUGGCGGACGGGUGAGUAACACGUGGGUAACCUACCCUUAAGUGGGGGAUAACAUUUGGAAACAGAUGCUAAUACCGCAUAACCAUUCAGACCACAUGGUCUGAAUGUAAAAGACGGCCUUUGGCUGUCACUUUUGGAUCGACCCGCGGCGUAUUAGUUAGUUGGUAAGGUAACGGCUUACCAAGACAAUGAUACGUAGCCGACCUGAGAGGGUGAUCGGCCACAUUGGGACUGAGACACGGCCCAAACUCCUACGGGAGGCAGCAGUAGGGAAUCUUCCACAAUGGACGAAAGUCUGAUGGAGCAACGCCGCGUGAGUGAAGAAGGUUUUAGGAUCGUAAAACUCUGUUGUUGGAGAAGAACAGGGACUAGAGUAACUGUUAGUCCUUUGACGGUAUCCAACCAGAAAGCCACGGCUAACUACGUGCCAGCAGCCGCGGUAAUACGUAGGUGGCAAGCGUUGUCCGGAUUUAUUGGGCGUAAAGCGAGCGCAGGCGGUUUUUUAAGUCUGAUGUGAAAGCCUUCGGCUUAACCGAAGAAGUGCAUUAGAAACUGGGAAACUUGAGUGCAGAAGAGGACAGUGGAACUCCAUGUGUAGCGGUGAAAUGCGUAGAUAUAUGGAAGAACACCAGUGGCGAAAGCGGCUGUCUGGUCUGUAACUGACGCUGAGGCUCGAAAGUAUGGGGAGCGAACAGGAUUAGAUACCCUGGUAGUCCAUACCGUAAACGAUGAAUGCUAAGUGUUGGAGGGUUUCUGCCCUUCAGUGCUGCAGCUAACGCAUUAAGCAUUCCGCCUGGGGAGUACG